rnacentral:rRNA from 1 species
UACGUAGGGGGCUAGCGUUGUCCGGAAUUAUUGGGCGUAAAGAGCGUGUAGGCGGUUCGAUAAGUCUGCUGUAAAAGUCGGGGGCUCAACCCUCGAAGGCCGGUGGAUACUGUCGAGCUAGAGUACGGAAGAGGCGAGUGGAACUCCUGGUGUAGCGGUGAAAUGCGCAGAUAUCAGGAGGAACACCAAUUGCGAAGGCAGCUCGCUGGGACGUAACUGACGCUGAGACGCGAAAGCGUGGGGAGCAAACAGG